UGAUGACCUGGGCAACAGUUUGAAAUUUCCAUUUCUGUUGUAAUCCUGGCAAAGAUUUCUUUUUUCAGCUCUUUUUGCAUUAAUUGGCCUCUCCUGAGCUGCUCCUCUUUCAAGAUUUAGUAUAAAGGAGAUACCUUCAUGUAACUCUCUCUCUCUGGUUAUCAAAGUGCUUUCUUAACUUGCCCAUACUUCAAUUAAGCACUUGUUCUUCUCUCUCACUCUCCCCACCCUGCUUCCCGCUCUGGGAUACAGUGGGUUUGGGGACUGAACCCAGGAGCACUCUGUUCCUGAGCUGCACCCCCAUUUUAAAAAUUUAUUUAUUUUUGGUACCAGGGAUUGAACCCAUGGGCGCUUAACCACAGAGCCACAUCCCCAGCCAUUUUUAAUAAAAUACUAAGUACCUUGGGGCCUCUCUGAGUUGCUAAUGGUGGCUUUGAACUCACAAUUCUCCUGCCUCAGCCUCCCAAGCCACUGGGAUUACAGGUGUGUGCCACAGUGGAUGUCUGCACCCCCAAUUUUUGAGACAAGAUCUUGCUAAAUUGCCAAGACUUCCUUGAACUAAUUCUCCUAAGCAACUGGGAUUAGAGGCAUAUACCACUGUGCCUGGUUUAAACACUAUUCCUUGAGCUACAUUUCCCAAUUAUUUUCUAAUCAAGGUGUAAUUUGGAUCCAACAGUCGCUAAUGUACAUUUCAUUUAAAAAAUAUUAGAGGGCAUGGAAGGCUGAGAUGUGAGGAUCGCAAGUUCAAAGCCAGCCUCAGAAACUUAGUUAGGCCCUAAGCAAACUAAAGACUCGAUCUCAAACCAUG
rnacentral:lncRNA from 1 species